UACGGAGGAUCCAAGCGUUAUCCGGAUUCAUUGGGUUUAAAGGGUGCGUAGGCGGAAUGAUAAGUCAGCGGUGAAAUCCCUCGGCUUAACCGAGGAACUGCCGUUGAUACUGUCAAUCUUGAGUACAUUUGAUGUGGGCGGAAUGUGUCAGUGUAGCGGUGAAAUGCUUAGAUAUGACACAGAACACCGAUUGCGAAGGCAGCUCCACAAAAUGUAAACUGACGCUGAGGCACGAAAGCGUGGGUAUCAAACAGG
rnacentral:rRNA from 1 species